AUUGAACGCUGGCGGCAUGCCUAACACAUGCAAGUCGAACGGUAGCAGGCCCGCAAGGGUGCUGACGAGUGGCGGACGGGUGAGUAAUACAUAGGAAUCUGCCUGAUAGUGGGGGAUAACUUAGGGAAACUUAAGCUAAUACCGCAUAAGCCCUACGGGGGAAAGCAGGGGAUCGCAAGACCUUGCGCUAACAGAUGAGCCUAUGUCGGAUUAGCUAGUUGGUAGGGUAAAGGCCUACCAAGGCGACGAUCCAUAACUGGUUUGAGAGAACGACCAGUCACACUGGGACUGAGACACGGCCCAGACUCCUACGGGAGGCAGCAGUGGGGAAUAUUGGACAAUGGGGGCAACCCUGAUCCAGCAAUGCCGCGUGUGUGAAGAAGGCCUUCGGGUUGUAAAGCACUUUCGGUGGGGACGAAAAGCUUAAGGCUAAUAUCCUUGAGUAUUGACUUAACCCAAAGAAGAAGCACCGGCUAACUCUGUGCCAGCAGCCGCGGUAAUACAGAGGGUGCGAGCGUUAAUCGGAAUUACUGGGCGUAAAGCGCGCGUAGGCGGUUUGGUAAGUUGGAUGUGAAAUCCCCGGGCUCAACCUGGGAACUGCAUUCAAUACUGCCUCACUAGAGUAUGGUAGAGGGAAGCGGAAUUCCACAUGUAGCGGUGAAAUGCGUAGAUAUGUGGAGGAACAUCAAUGGCGAAGGCAGCUUCCUGGACCAAUACUGACGCUGAGGCGCGAAAGCGUGGGUAGCAAACAGGAUUAGAUACCCUGGUAGUCCACGCCCUAAACGAUGAGAACUAGAUGUUGGGAAGUAUAUCUUCUUAGUGUCGCAGCUAACGCGUUAAGUUCUCCGCCUGGGGAGUACGGCCGCAAGGUUG
rnacentral:rRNA from 1 species